UCGGUGGCCGAGCAGCAGGCUGUGUGCGUGGACGACGCUGCUGCUGGCCUGUGGGGGUGUCAGGGCCGCCCGGGAGGCCCUCAGCCCCCCAGGGCUCCCAGCUCCCACGCGCAGGUGGCCCCAUCCCUGCCCUGUUCUCUUUCCUCUCCAUGGCCUCCCUUUGCUGGGCCAAGACCUUGACCUUGGCUGGGGGUGUCCCACCUGCCCCCUUAUCCGGCCUCUCUUCCCCUGAAAUCUCCCGUCCAAGGGCAGAGCUCACUCUGAGCAAAAAUGUGGGUGUGGGUGUUCAAUCUCUCCUCAAGGCUUGUAGGCAGGUGGGCAAGAUUCCCACUUAGCCAGCCGCCCACCCUCCUCCACCCCGGGCUCAGAACCCACCCGGCUCCUUCUGGGGAGCUGCCCAUGAUCCCGGAAGGGCAGGCGUAGGCAGGCCCGCGUCCUGACGCCAGCUCCCGCCCUGCGGGCCCUGCAGCCUGGGGUGCCGGCUCUGUGGGUCCUGACACUGCACCGCUCACGCAGGGCGGUGUCCGCGGCAGGGUCCCCCUCCUGUAGGGUCUCUGUUGCUGCAGGUGCCUGUCCAGGCUGCGAGCCUGGGGGACCCGGGGUGCUGGGUGGAGCCAGACACACGGGAAGGGGGCCCCAUGUGGGCACCGGCUGGAGGCCAAGGGCAGGGCGCCUGGGUCCCCUCCGCCUCUGGGAAGACGCACCGUGGUUGGAGACGCACUGAGAUGGCUGGAGGGGUGACGUCAGCCGUUCGCAGGAGGAAAAGCCUCACGCUUGCCAGAAGGUCUGUGAGGCAAGCAUGGAAAUGCUCACUUCUUCCAAAAGACUGUGUCGGGGGAUCCCUGCUCCUGCACUGGAGAUCAUGGCCACUCCGAGGUCCACGGGUUCACAGGAACAGGUUUGCACGGCCGGUACUCUGGCGGCCAGGCCUCCAGUGGCCCUGGGCUGAGAGGAGAGGAGGAGGACCUCUUGAGGCCAGGCGCUGUGCGGGGCGGGAGCAGCCGUGGGAGCACACGGCUCGGCCGCGGAGGGGGGCGGUGCUGCGAGGCGACUCUGCGGUGGGCGGGGCCUGGGCCGGCGGCGGCUGGGAGCUGGGGGUGAGCGUGGACGUGGAGAGCCGGACCGAGACCCCAGAGCCCUCUGGCCGGAAAGGGCAGUUCUCACAAGCCCUGACUCUGAAACUUCCCAGCAGUUCCUUGUGGUUUUGGCCGCCUUUGCCUCAGCAAACCCGAGCAGCAGACGCCAGGAGGCGGAGGCCCCGCCCCCGCCCGGUCGGCCUGCUGGUCUCCCCCGCCCAGGGCUGUCCAGCUGCCGGCGUGCGGUCCUGUUUCCCAGAAUGAGGUCAGCAAGAGACGGUCCUGCUGUUUCCAACCUUGGACUCACAGCCCUCGCCUGGUCUGUGGGUUCUUUUCUCUGCUGCAAGUGUUAGGAUGCUGCUAUAUUUAGGGAAGAAAUUGCUUCCUAAAGAUGGAUAAUGACAGGAAAUUAUACCUUGUUGAUUCUGCGUCUUUUUUUUUUUAAUUCUUAAGUGCGUCUUUCAUGAAGCAACGGAAAAUAAAAAGAUUUAUGAAAGCCGUUUUCUAGAAUGAAAGCAUUGUGU